ensembl:ncRNA K08A8.5 ncRNA
GAAAGAAGAAGGGAAGAUGGGGAAGAGGUUCACGAGAUUGGGCGCCGACGAGAGGUGCACAGACAACUGUGGGUGGGCGGGUCUAACACCGCUUGGCCAAUCAUCGCGCGCCUUCCAGGGCGUGGCU